GGCCCGCCCCGCCCAGCGCCUCGGCUCAGCCCCGCCCGGCGCCUCGGCCCCGCCCCGCCCAGCGCCUCGGCCCCGCCCCGCCCAGCGCCUCGGCCCCGCCCCCGCGGUGAGCCCCGGCGGCGUUUUCGGGCGCGCGCGGUCUUGGCGGUUGUCUUGGCGGGCAGUGAGGAUGCUGACGAGGUCGUAGCAUGAUCAGCGAAGGCCCCGGGAGCGACACGGAGAGUGACACUAGGAGAUCGACUCCGACUGCCAAGGCCUCCGACACUGAUAAAGUCAGACACCACAGAAAAGUUUCUCCUGCUUCAGCAAGCUCAAAUGUAAGAAGGCCACAGGGGGAAAAGGAGCCUGAUCAUGUGAGAGGCAGACUGAAUGAGAUCAUCACAAACACCGUCAUUCUCCUCCUGGGGUGGUGUGCGGCCUGGGCCGCCACGGGCCCCGACGUCCUCCCCGGCGGGAGCCUCUUCGGCCUGAUCAUCCUCUUCUACAGCGCCUUCCUCGGGGGGAAGCUGCUGGAAUGCGUCCAGAUCCCCUCGGUGCCGCCUCUCCCGCCUCUCCUCGGGAUGCUACUGGCUGGUUUUGCCAUCAGAAAUAUCCGAUUCCUCAGUGAAAUCGUCUCUGUCAACCCCUUAUGGUCUUCGACGUUAAGGAACAUGGCUCUCACCGUCAUCCUCGUACGGGCCGGGCUUGGCCUCGACCCCAAGAUCCUGAAGACCAUGAAGGGGGUGUGCCUGCGGCUGUCCAUCGGGCCCUGCCUGACAGAGUCCUUCUCCGCUGCGAUCAUCUCCCACUACCUCCUGGGCUUUCCCUGGGAGUGGGGCUUUCUAGUAGGUUUUGUAGUGGGCGCCGUCUCGCCGGCGGUGGUCGUGCCGUCCAUGAUCAUGCUGCAGGAGAAGGGCUACGGCAUCCAGAAAGGCAUCCCCACCUUGCUCAUGGCCGCCAGCAGCCUGGACGACAUCCUGGCCAUCACCGGCUUCAACGUCUGCAUCAGCCUGAUCUUCUCCACAGGUAGCAUCGUGCACAACAUCCUGAGUUCUCUCCGGGACAUAGUCAUUGGUGUGCUGAUAGGAGCUGUCUUGGGAAUUUUCGUUCGAUAUUUUCCAAAUAGAGAGCAGGAUCACGUGCACCUGAAGAGGGCCUUCCUGAUCCUCGGCCUCUGCGUCUCCGCCGUCCUGGGCAGCAACCGCGUGGGCCUGCACGCCGCGGGAGGCCUCUGCACGCUGGUGCUCACCUUCAUGGCCGGGAUGAGCUGGGCCUCAGAGAAGGUUUACGCCCGGGUCUGCUCUCAAGAAUCACUCCUAGUGACCUCAGGGACCCUGUGGGAUGCGGGGAUCAAACCCAGGUCAGCUGCGUGCAAUCACACGCUUCUUACCGCUCCCUGCCAGCUAUGUAGUCGUCGCAUGAUGUUCUCAAGGGUGGCACUGAAGAGUUUCGGUGAAAUGGUAUCACCCUGCCGCACCCCUCUCUUUACGUCAAUGAUCACUUCCUUGUAGAAUGGUGAGAUCCAGGUGGUGAAUCCACAAUACAGCUCGAGGAGGAUUUUGAUAUAAUGAGUUUGAAUGCCCUGUUUGGCCAGGGCUUCAAUGACCGCCUCAGUCUCAACAGAAUCGAAGGCCUUCUUUAAGUCGAUGAAUGUCAGACAGAGCAGCAUCUUGAACUCUCGUGAAACUUCAGUGAGUUUGGUCACUGUGUGGAUAUGAUCUAUCGUGCUGAAUCCCCUUCGGAACCCAGCUUUCUCGCAUGGUUGUCCUUCGUCUAGUGUUCUGCCUAUUCUAUUCAGGAUGACACGAGUGAACAACUUGUAGACGACAGACAGCAGGCAGAUUGGGCGAUAGUUGCCGAUGUCGUGGGUGUCUCCCUUCUUGUACAACAGAACGGUCCUACUGCUUUUCCACUGGGACAGAACCUUGCAUUCAGACAGGUAGCGUGUGAAGAGUUGGGCCAGUGUAUUGAUGAGUACUGGGGGCAGAUUCUUCAGGUGUUCGGGUCUGACCUUGUCCGGACCAGGUGCUGUUCGAGUCUUUACCAGCGAAAUGGCGUGUCGGAUUUCAGAAGGGAGAACAUUGGGAAUGACAUAUCCAUCCUGCGGAAUUUGGUAUGUGGGCAGGUGGACAUGGCUGUCAAAGAGAUCCAAAUAGAAGUCAUAAAUAAUCCUCUCCAUUGCCCUUCUGGAAGAUGUGAUAGAUCCAUCAGGACGUCGGAGGGCAGUCAUCUUGGUCUUAUAGUUGGCGAAGGACAGGCGAGCGUUGCGAAUACUUUUCCUGGCUUCUGCUGCACUGGCCAACACUGCUGCUCUUCUCUCUUUGAGGUCUUCCUUUAUCGCUUCUCUGCACAGCUUUGUGAGCUGGGACGUUAGCUUGUGGUUGCCUGAGGCUCGCGCCAAACCACGUUGGCGAAUGAGCUCGAGAGUUUCCGAAGACAGGUGUCUGUUUGUGGCUUUCUCACUCUCGGCAUUCUUCGUACAGACAUGGAGGUGCUGAACCAGUUGAUCGUAUUCCUCGUCGAUGUUGUCAAGGACGGCAUCUUCCCACGUUGCUGCAGUAGUGCCAAAGAGCUCCCAGUUGGUGGUCAUUCUGGGAGUUGCCUUCUUAGACUUAAAUUUUUAAGACUUUUCUCCCCGCUCUGUGAAGUAGAAUUUCACACGAAGGAGUUGGUGGUCCGGUCCUGUUUGGAAUUUUGGGACAACAGCGACAUCGGUCAGGCAAAACCUUUGAUUGAAUAUGAUGUGGUCAAUUUCAUUGUGGAACUGUCCACCAGGAGACUACCAUGUCCAGUGUUUAGAUUCAGCCUCCUGGAACUGUGAGUUACCAUGGAUGGUCUUGGUCCACAUGAUGAAUUCAGAGUCUCUAACCCUGAUUGUUCCAUUCUAGGCCAUGGGUCCCAAUGUGGAGCUCUUCAGGCGACCUUCUCGGACCUAUCGUGGCAUUAAAAUGGUUGGCAGUUACACCACCUCCACUUCGCUGAUGACAUAGUUCUCAUAACGCCAAACAUUAGCCAAGCGGCACAAAUGCUGGCCGACUUCGACCACGAGUGUGGAAAGGUCGGAUUGCAGCUGAAUCUUAACAAGACGAUGCUCAUGAAAGACGAACUAGUCCCUGACGCUCCAUUUGCUCUCAAUGGAACGAACAUCUCUGAAUGCAGCAGCUAUGUGUACCUGGGUUGAGAACUCAACAGGAGGAAUGACUUGGUGCCAGAACUGCGCAGGAGGAAGAGAGCAGCGUGGAAUGCAUUCAAGAGCGUCGAAGAGGUGGUUAAGAGGACAAAGAACCUCCGAUUCCGGGCACAUCUUUUCCAUUCCACCAUUCUUCCUGCACUAACAUAUGCCUCAGAGACCUGGGCCCUAUGCAAACAGGAUGAGAACGCUAUUCGGGUAUCCCAAAGAGGAAUCGAAAGAGCUAUGCCGGGAAUAUCAUGUCUCACUCAAGUGAGAGAAGGAAUCCGGAGUUCUGACCUCCAUCGACAGUCAAGAAUCAGGGAAGCUGUCUCAUUUGCCAAGGCAUCAAAAAUCAGAUGGGCCGGUCAUGUAAUGCGAUUCAGAGACGACCGCUGGACUAGAGCUGUUACCUACUGGAUUCCACGGGACGUCAGAAGACCUCGUGGCCGCCCACCAACUAGAUGGUCAAAUUUCUUUGUCAAAUCCCUGAAUGAAUGAUUUGAGGCUCUUCCUGUUCCUGGAGCAAGCAGGUCAGCGUCCAGCACGUGAUCGCCGUCGCCUGGGAUGUCUUCCAGCCCCUCCUCUUCGGCCUGGUCGGGUCCGAAAUCAACGUCUCAGCUCUAGACACGAA